UACGUAGGGUGCGAGCGUUAAUCGGAAUUACUGGGCGUAAAGCGUGCGCAGGCGGUUUUGUAAGUCAGAUGUGAAAUCCCCGGGCUCAACCUGGGAACUGCGUUUGAAACUACAAGGCUAGAGUGUAGCAGAGGGGGGUAGAAUUCCACGUGUAGCAGUGAAAUGCGUAGAGAUGUGGAGGAAUACCAAUGGCGAAGGCAGCCCCCUGGGUUAACACUGACGCUCAUGCCACGAAAGCGUGG
rnacentral:rRNA from 1 species